AUAAACACAUAUAAUAAAACUAAGAAUAAUUAAUAAUAGCCUUAAUAUUGUCUACGGAUCUCUAAAUCCAUCAUACGUAUCAUCGCGAUGCGUGCCCCGCACCUUCCUCCACCCGCGACGUGUUAGACUCGGCAGUCGGCGGUGGGGACAGAAUUUCUAGUCUCGAAGGAGAGCGCACGUUCCUUGGCUGCGCGAACCAACUACAUUGUUCUCGUGCCAUUAUAAUACUUGAAUAACUACAACUUUCAUAUAUUUUUUACACGUUAUUAGGUUAACAUACUACUUAACAAACUAUUAAAUAAAUAAAGUCAGUGUUCCCAUCUAGGGAACACUGUUGGACUUCUAUACCUGUCCUACUUCGUAUGCCACAGUUUUGAACCUGGAUCCGGACAACAUAGUGAAGUCACACGUGUCAGGAGAUUGGGAACCGAAGGGGUGUACGGUAUUUCUGGGACCGAGACUCUGCGAGCAAAUUAUGGCCUCGGCUUUACCCUCGACCUCUUAAAAUCUUUAUUAAAUAUAAUUUAAAUAUAGUUUUAAAAAUUG